UUGAAGAGGUAAACCGGAAGUUGAAUGGUUUCUUGGUUUGCAAAAAAAAUUGUUUGAAUUUUUUUAUUUUAAGCAUAUUCUAGAAUUUGCCGUAUUUCCUACACAAUGAACAUGGACUAUUUGGAUUUCGAAGAUAACGAGGCGGAUCGCUGCGGAUUAUCAGAUAUUGAGAUUACUAUUGUGAACGGCAACCCACCUGACUGGUGGACGCGCUCGUCCAAUUGGCCACCGCCUAACGGUUCCAUGAGCUUAAUGACCAGGCUAAGGGUUAAUUAUAAGAAUCUCCCGGAGGCACUAAAAACCGAUUUGCGCAGUGAUUAUCCAGAUUCGAGUAAUGGACCAAUACUGCGAGUGGGACCACCGUUGCAUUUUGGUAUAACUGGCGCGUAUGCGGUGGAAAACGAUUCCGUACGUUAAUGAUAGAUGUUGUACCGAUCCUUUCCCGCCUCAGAUAUCGAGAGCUGCACUCAAUGUCCAGUGGAGAAUACUGAUCAAGUGGUGACCGGUCUCCGCAACCGGAUUGUAAACAAUAUUUUGACCAACAGUCAAAAUGAAGUGAACUUUUACGUCAGCUCCGUAAAUUCUCAGGUACAAAUACCGAAUCCACAGGACGAUCAACAGGAUCCGGUUGACGUUACCCCGGCGAAGGAACCGGAGCGACUUUCAGCUAGGUGCGACUGCGAACAGCAUUCUGAUGGGAAGAACGGGCAAUGAUAACUGAGUGUUGAUAAACGAUUUUUACACACUAGUGAGGGCUUCAGUUAAUGUGGGACUAAUGCUGUGAUAAAACGGUUUCUUUUAAAGGCUUUGAUUUUUUACAACAAAAAAAUAAUAUUUGUUGGUGCUGAAAUUUAUGCAAGAAACGAUAUUAAAAGAGACGAGAUUG